GACGAACGCUGGCGGCGUGCUUAACACAUGCAAGUCGAACGGACGGGCCCUGCUUUUGUGGGGUGCUCGAGUGGCGAACGGGUGAGUAACACGUGAGUAACCUGCCCUUGACUUUGGGAUAACUUCAGGAAACUGGGGCUAAUACCGGAUAGGAGCUCCUGCUGCGUGGUGGGGGUUGGAAAGUUUCGGCGGUUGGGGCUGGACUCGCGGCUUAUCAGCUUGUUGGUGGGGUAGUGACUGACCAAGCAUAUGACGGGUAGCCUGCCUGAGAGGGGGAACGGCCACAUUGGGACUAAGAGACGGCGCAGACGCCUACGGGAGGCAGCAGUGGGGAGUAUGGCAGAAUGGGCGGAAGCCUGAUGCAGAAACGUCGCGUGCGGGAUGACCGCUUACGGGGUGUAAACCGAUUUCGACGGUGACGAAGCGUUAGUGACGGUAAUGGGUAAAGAAGCACCGGCUAACUACGUG
rnacentral:rRNA from 1 species